UACGAAGGGGGCUAGCGUUGCUCGGAAUCACUGGGCGUAAAGGGUGCGUAGGCGGGUCUUUAAGUCAGGGGUGAAAUCCUGGAGCUCAACUCCAGAACUGCCUUUGAUACUGAGGAUCUUGAGUUCGGGAGAGGUGAGUGGAACUGCGAGUGUAGAGGUGAAAUUCGUAGAUAUUCGCAAGAACACCAGUGGCGAAGGCGGCUCACUGGCCCGAUACUGACGCUGAGGCACGAAAGCUAGGGGAGCGAACGGG
rnacentral:rRNA from 1 species